rnacentral:rRNA from 1 species
GAUCCUGGCUCAGGAUGAACGCUAGCUACAGGCUUAACACAUGCAAGUCGAGGGGCAGCAUUUUUUAUAGCAAUAUAAAAGAUGGCGACCGGCGCACGGGUGAGUAACACGUAUCCAACCUGCCGAUAACUCGGGGAUAACCCUUCGAAAGAAGGCCUAAUACCCGAUGGCAUAUCCCUUCCGCCUGGUUGGGAUAUUAAAGAACUUCGGUUAUCGAUGGGGAUGCGUUCCAUUAGCUUGUUGGCGGGGUAACGGCCC